rnacentral:lncRNA from 1 species
UACGAUUAAAGUGGCCUCCAGAAUGCUGAGACCAAAAACAUAAAGCAAACCCUGGUUGGAUACACUAUUGGAGGAAACCAAAACAAACUAAACAAAAAACACGAUAUGAUCUUGAGAAAAGGAAGAAUUUUCUCUGGAGGAAAUGAGACAAAAGUGCAUAAAGGACACUGAUAUGAUUAAACAAGGAAAGGUCACUAUGGAU